AAGAAGCCUAUGUAUAUGUAUGUAUGUAAUUUUGCAGAUUUGGCAGAUCUAUAAGUGAUUUUCCUAUCUAUAAACUAAGAAGAAUAUUUUGAUGACUGCCAUCACCUUGUUUAUAUGAAUAGAUAAUUUGAAGAAAACUUUCAAAGAACUGCACUUUUUGUUACUUAUAUAGAAAUAUAAAAAAAAGAAAUAUGAAGACCGGGACAAUAAUACAAAAAAAGCAGAAGAUUGGAAGCACAAAAUAGACUGAAUAAUGUGACUGAGUAUAUGUGUUUUUUCAUUUGUGUAAGGAAUAAAUGUUUAGUUUUAUUUUAU